CCUACGGGAGGCAGCAGUGAGGAAUAUUGGUCAAUGGGCGCGAGCCUGAACCAGCCAAGUCGCGUGAGGGAGGACGGCCCUACGGGUUGUAAACCUCUUUUGCCGGGGAGCAACGGGCGUCACGUGUGGCGCCACUGAGAGUACCCGGAAAAAAAGCAUCGGCUAACUCCGUGCCAGCAGCCGCGGUAAUACGGAGGAUGCGAGCGUUAUCCGGAUGUAUUGGGUGUAAAGGGUGCGUCGGGGGAUCGUUAAGUCAGUUGUCAAAUUGAGGGGCUCAAACCCUUACCGCCAUUGAAACUGGCGCUCUUGAGUGGAAGAGAAGUAUGCGGAAUGCGUGGUGUAGCGGUGAAAGGCAUAGAUAUCACGCAGAACCCCGAUUGCGAAGGCAGCAUGCCGGCUUCCGACUGACGCUGAAGCACGAAAGCGUGGGGAUCGAACAGGAUUAGAUACCCCUGUAGUC
rnacentral:rRNA from 1 species